rnacentral:rRNA from 1 species
UAUUAGAGGCAUUGCCUGCCCAGUGACUAAAGUUAAACGGCCGCGGUAUCCUGACCGUGCAAAGGUAGCAUAAUCACUUGUUCCUUAAUUAGGGACUAGAAUGAAUGGCUAAACGAGGGUUCAACUGUCUCUUACUUUCAAUCAGUGAAAUUGACCUUCCAGUGAAGAGGCUGGAAUACUACAAUAAGACGAGAAGACCCUAUGGAGCUUUAAUUUACUAGUUUAAUUUAUAUAAUAACAACCUAAUGGACCAAGACAAAAUAAAUAUAAACUAAAAAUUUCGGUUGGGGUGACCUCGGAGAAUAAAAAAUCCUCCGAAUGAUUUUAACCUAGACCCACAAGUCAAAGUAAUAUUAAUAUCUUAUUGACCCAAUUAUUGAUCAACGGACCAAGUUACCCUAGGGAUAACAGCGCAAUCCUAUUUAAGAGUUCAUAUCGACAAUUAGGGUUUACGACCUCGAUGUUGGAUCAGGACAUCCCAAUGGUGCAGAAGCUAUUAAUGGUUCGUUUGUUCAACGAUUAAAGUCCUACGUGAUCUGAGU